rnacentral:rRNA from 1 species
CCUACGGGAGGCAGCAGUGGGGAAUUUUGGACAAUGGGCGAAAGCCUGAUCCAGCCAUGCCGCGUGCAGGAUGAAGGCCUUCGGGUUGUAAACUGCUUUUGUACGGAACGAAAAGCCUCUUUCUAAUAAAGAGGGGUCAUGACGGUACCUGAAGAAUAAGCACCGGCUAACUACGUGCCAGCAGCCGCGGUAAUACGUAGGGUGCAAGCGUUAAUCGGAAUUACUGGGCGUAAAGCGUGCGCAGGCGGUUAUGCAAGACAGAGGUGAAAUCCCCGGGCUCAACCUGGGAACUGCCUUUGUGACUGCAUAGCUAGAGUGCGGCAGAGGGGGAUGGAAUUCCGCGUGUAGCAGUGAAAUGCGUAGAUAUGCGGAGGAACACCGAUGGCGAAGGCAAUCCCCAGGGCCUGCACUGACGCUCAUGCACGAAAGCGUGGGGAGCAAACAGGAUUAGAUACCCUGGUAG